GAUGAACGCUGGCGGCGUGCCUAAUACAUGCAAGUCGAGCGAACGGACGAGAAGCUUGCUUCUCUGAUGUUAGCGGCGGACGGGUGAGUAACACGUGGAUAACCUACCUAUAAGACUGGGAUAACUUCGGGAAACCGGAGCUAAUACCGGAUGAUAUUUUGAACCGCAUGGUUCAAAAGUGAAAGACGGUCUUGCUGUCACUUAUAGAUGGAUCCGCGCUGCAUUAGCUAGUUGGUAAGGUAACGGCUUACCAAGGCAACGAUGCAUAGCCGACCUGAGAGGGUGAUCGGCCACACUGGAACUGAGACACGGUCCAGACUCCUACGGGAGGCAGCAGUAGGGAAUCUUCCGCAAUGGGCGAAAGCCUGACGGAGCAACGCCGCGUGAGUGAUGAAGGUCUUCGGAUCGUAAAACUCUGUUAUUAGGGAAGAACAUAUGUGUAAGUAACUGUGCACAUCUGGACGGUACCUAAUCAGAAAGCCACGGCGAACUACG
rnacentral:rRNA from 1 species